AAGCCGGUGCUCCGGCCUGUUGGUUUGCUUUGCAGCAGUGGGGAUUGAACCCAAGGCCUUUACAGCGAGCUAAAUCCCCAUUCUAAGCUGGGCUUAAAUUUGGGCUCUUCCUAUCUCAGCCUCCCUGUACCCCUGUUACGUGACAGAGGGGAGACACAGCUGUUCUCCAUCCUGGAUCCAAGCUCACACAUUGCGAUUCUUGGCCCCUCCUGUGACUGUGGCCUUGUCUUUGUGUGAAUUCGUUUUUGUCCUCAAGGUCAUGGCUUGACCUUGACCUGAGGCCCAGUUUUCCCUCAGAGAGGAUUCACUCUGCUUCUGUUUCCCCAGAAUGUCCCUAAAGGCUCAGAGCCAGCACCCCAAGUUAGCCUAGCACCACCCACAUCCACCAAGUUCUUUUGGAGACCCACAGCACUGCCAUGGGAACCAGGCCCUACAUCCUCACCCACCUGCCCAGUCCCCUCGGUGCCCAGCACCUGCCCAGCUCACGUUCCUGUCCACUGUCUUCUGUGUACAGGGGCAUCCCGGUUCCAGAACCUUCUCUUUCUCCUCCUAGGAGACUGGAGACCUGCACAGAACUGGCUCCCUCGGCUCUGUGGCCGGGGGCCGGCGCGCCCCUCAGCACCCCAAUCCCAGCACCCUGUGCAGCUGGAAGUCAGGACCCGAGCCGUGACAUCUCAGGGCCCACACAGAACCUGGGCCCGCUGGAGCCGCCUGGGCCCUCCCGGGAUUUGCGGAUUUCUUCCUUUUUUUCUGUUUUGCUUUAUUUCCUUGUUUUGUUUCUCUGAGACAGGGUCUGGGGACACAGUCCAGGCUGCCCUCAACCCACAGCUAUCCUGUCUCAGCCUCCAGAGUGCUGGGCAGACAGGCGUGCACCCCCAGGCCUGGCUCCUGCCCCUGUCAAAGCUUCUCUGCUUUGCCAACUGCCAGGCGUUGGGGGACCCUGGGGACGGAGGGGGCUGGAAACUGGGCCAGGCUCUGGGGUCCAGGCUGAGACCUCGGGCUCUGGGCAGGGCGUGGCAGGCGGACCGAGGAGAGGCCCGGCUUCUGCGACUGCCUUGACUGGGGGUAGCAGACUGUGCUCACUCCUUCGUCUGCUCACUGUUUAUUUUAUUUUUGCAGGUUUCCUUGUUCCUACUGUUCGGCCAGGUGAGACUCCCGGAAAUGAAAGGCUGAAGUGAGCACCUUGAAGAUGAAGGCGCAAAGCAGCCUUGAAGGCAAAGGACGAUAACAGCAGGAGGCCCGGUGAUGUCAAACCCUGGAUCCAGGCCUGUCGUCCCAGCAGGGGGGAAGCUGAGGCAGGAAGAUCUCUGUGAGUUCAAGGCCAGCCUGCUCUGCAUAGAGAGGCCCCGUCUCAGCAAUAUAGAAACCGGCAUGAGGAGGAAGAGUGGAGCGGAGCUCAGAGCAAAGGGGCUGGUUCAAUUCCAUGCCAUCAAAAGAGCCAGAGCGAGAGAGAGAGAGAGGUAUGCCGGCCACUGAACCAGUGCUCAGAUGGGAGAGGCCAGUUGUGCCCCUGGCUGAGACCUGGACACCUGAUCGGCUCUGCCACCUGCCCUGCCCUGCACCGACCUGGAUCUGAAUGGCUUCCAUGGAGCCAGGACCUGGCUGUCAGCCUCGCUGCCCACUGCCCUCGGAAGCCCCGGGGGCUCCAUGUCCCUCCCCAGCAAUUCUGGGCGCGUCCCCCAGGGGGCUCUGGCUGGGCCCCCGGAUGCAGACAGUCAGGGCCUGCAGGGCAAAGGAAGCAGCUCAAGACUUCCACCUCUGGCUGAAAUCCAGCAGAGUCCCCAGCCACGUGGCUUUGUAGGAUGAGUCGUCCCCACCCCACCCCGGUCACCUCUGGACCUGUAGAGAGGGACCGCAGGCUUCCUGCUGAUAACCCUGCCCGCCAGGCACCCCUGCCCACAGCCCGGAAGCUGGGCUCUAUCUCCCCUGCGAGGACAGAGCCAGGCUGGAAUGUGUCCCCUGAUAAGGGCACCGAGCAGCGGGCAGGGUGGGCUGCCUGUCUGGGGCUCUCAGCACAGAGGCGCUGACUGAUAAGGGCUCUGUGGGGCCUCUGGGACUGAAGGGCCCAGGACGCCAGCCUGGCUGGGAUCUGAGAAGGGGCCCGGAUGUGGACCCCUGUUUGGGAGCCAGCCCUGGGCAAGCCGUGUGCACAGGCCAAGUCCCCGCAGGCUCCAGGCCAGGGAACGGGGGAUGGGCCGGAUGAUGAAAUUCUACUCGUGGUGGCACCAGCCUGACUUCCCGCUCUCUAGAGGCUGAGGCAGGAGGGUUGCUGCGAAUUCGAGCCCAGCCUGGGCUACACAGUGAGUUCAAGGCCAGCCUGGGCUACAGUGAGGCCCUGUCUCAGAAAUACAAAACUAAGCAAAGCAGAGCAAACAGAAAAGUACAUCUAAGAUUCUGGGCACCAGGUGACAGAGAAGGGAUCUGAAGGGAGCCUGCAGCAGCCAGAGGUGUUGGGGGAACACAGGGCCGCCUCCUGGAGGCUGGGCACAGGGGCCCUGUCUUUCUUUCCUUCAGUACUGAGGCUGAGACCCAGAGCCCUCUCGGUGAUCUCCCUCCCCAGCCCCUUUUCAUGUUUUGAGACACAGGCUUUUUUUUUUUUUUUUUGUCUUUUUCCUUUUUAUCGGUACCGGGGAUCAAACUCAUGACUGCCUGCUUGCAAGGCAGGGGCUUUUGCCGCUGAGCUAAAUCCCCAUCCCCUAUUGAGACACAGUCUUGCUAAACCACUAGGUUGCCUGAGCCAGGCUCAAAUUUGUGAUCCUCCUGCCUCAGCCUCCUAAAGUGCUAGGAUUACAGGUGGGCAUGGCCACGCAAGAUGGGGCUGUGUCUUCAUUAACUGUCAUGGCCUCCCCAUGGACCCCAAUACUCUCCAAGUGUUCUUCCCAUCUGUGGGUCCCCACUGCACAUGACUGGAGUCCCUGGGACCCACAGAACCCAGCGCCCCAGCUGAGCCUCUCAGCUGCGGCUAGGCCCGUGUGGAGUCAGGUGGCAGCUCUGUGACCUCGGCCCGUGCUGUUUCCUGGUGGGACCUCGGUCUCUAGGACAGGGCUGGCCUGUAGCAGGCUCUCAGAGGAGGAAUUUCACAGCCAGGAACAGUGGUACCACUGAAAUCCUAGCACUCUGGAAGCUGAAGCAGGAAGAUCUCAAAUUUUAGCCCAGCCUGGACAACUCAGCCACUUAGUGAGACCCUGUCUCAAAAGUAAUUUUUUAAAAAAGUGGGCUGUGAAUACAGCUCAGUGCAAAGGUCCCCAGUACCCCCAAAACUGCAAUUUCCAUAAGAAAUGUAUGGGAGCUUGUCCCACGCCUGCCCUGAGUCCUGUGAUGCCGAAACCCAAGCCCUGGCUCAGGGAGCAUUCCUAGGCUGGUAGCUCCUGGCCAGGGCAGCUGUGCCUCCUCCCGGCGCUGAGCUGGGGGCUCCCAGCCCCACGGGGCCAGUCCUGAGCUCCUUCUCUGGCCGUCACUUCCACACGGUCUCGGUCCCCAUCUGAAAAGUGGGGUCCCCCCUGAGUCUGUGGAUCCUGACCCUGCUUGAGGACUUCAGGAGGUAGCUGUCACACAGGGCAGAGCCCGGGGAAUGAGCGGGUUAUCUGUCCCCUGGCACCACUGUCCCUCGGAUCCGGGCUCCCGGUUUCUCCGUUGGAUUCCAGCUCCGCCGCGCCUCCUCGUGGUCAAAUGUGAUGUUGCAGCGGCUGCCAACACCGCGUCCAACGCACUUUCCGACCAAUGCCAACUCUGCGCCCUGGCGUGGCAAGCGGCAAGAGGACAUCCACAGCUUGGGAGGCUGAGGCAGGAGGGUUGCCCGAACUGCACAAUGAGUUCAAGGCGGGCUGGAGCCACACAAAGCCUGACUCAGACCAAACAAAAAAGGGGAAAAAGUUAGGUGUUGCCUCUUAAUUUUUAAAAAGACGUUAAUUUGUAAUACAUGUAUAGUCAUUUGUUUGGCCUCAAAACCAAUGUGACCCCACAGAAAACAGUGAAAUAUCUUUUGGGUUUUUGUUUUUUGAGACAGGGUCUAUCUAGUCCAGGCCAACCUCAAACUCACGGAAAUCACCCGGCUUCGCCUCCCAGGAGCUGGGUGACAGGUGUGGGUCACUAGACCCCGUGAUGAUAUCUUAAGGUCAUACCCAGUACACUGGCCUCUGACACUGGCCACCUGGCCACCUUCUAACUCUGGAGCAAGGCACUUGGCCCUCCUGGCUGCCACAGCCCAUAGCCCCAGGCACCAGGAGGAGAAUUGUUCUGCCUUGGGCUGAGACCAGGUUUAAAUCAAGAAUUUAUUUUUGAAGCUGGGUAUGGAAGCACAUGCCUGUAGUUCCAGCCCUUGGAGGCUGAGGCAGGAGGAUCACCAAGAAUUCGUGACCAGCCUGGGGAACACAGUGAGGUCAAGCCGGGAAUAACACAGAGUGAGACCAGAACAGGGGGAGAACACAGAGGGGUUCAGAGGGAGGACGGCUGGGGACCCAGGAGGGGCCAAUGAGUGCCGGAGAUGGGAGGGCAGUGGCUCUCAAGAGGCAAGGCACUGAGGCCCCCAGAGAGGAGCUGGAGAGAGGGUGGGCAGCCCUGUGGCUGGCCCAAGGGCUCCUGGUCCAGAGUGGACACCCACGCGGUGUGCACUGGGCUGGAGGCUCCGAGGGAAAGCCUAGAGCUCCUGACCUUCUCAUCACUUCUCUGGCAUCACUUCUCUGGUUCAGAACUGCAAGGCCCCCUCCGCUUUCUCUCCAACGUUUCCGUCCCUUUUGCACAUUUAUUUUCUGUAGCCUACAGCACAAAACAGUUUUGGAUUAAAAAGUAAUACAGCAAA